AAGUCGUAACAAGAUGUCCAAAGGUGAACCUGCGGAAGGAUCAUUCAUAAUUGAGUGUUUUAUGGCACUCUUCAGUAAAUCUAUACCCACCUUGUGUGCAGCGUUUUUAAACACUUUGGCAUUGAUAUCUCUUUUAGGAAAGGAAAGCCAGGAUAUUUGAUUAACUUCACUCAACUCCUUUGAAACAGUUUGUCUGAAUACAUAUUUCUGAAUAAACAUAAUUCAAGAAUACAACUUUCAAUAACGGAUCUCUUAGCUUUC
rnacentral:misc_RNA from 1 species